UGCCCGGCAACUCCUAUCCCUACCUCCACGCGGUACCGGCCGGAAACUAUGAGCAACCUUAGGGAAGAUCGGGUAACCAACCCCGGUGGGAACUUUGGUCGUAGGCUGACAGGGAAGG
rnacentral:ribozyme from 1 species